ensembl:snRNA U1 U1 spliceosomal RNA
AUACUUUCUCGGCAGGGGAGAUAUAAUGAUCAUGAAGGUCAUUUUCCCAGGGCAAGGAUUAUCUAUUGCACUCAAUGUGUUGACCCCUGAAAUUUUCCCAAAUAUAGGGAACACAACUUCAUGAUUUGUGAUGGUGAGGACGGAAUUUGUUCUUUCUUCU